GGAGGAGCUCAGUGGUAGAGUGCCUGCCUAGCACGCACAAGGUCCUGGGUUCAAUCCCCAGUGUUUCCU
rnacentral:tRNA from 1 species